rnacentral:lncRNA from 7 species
UCCCUUCCUUCUUCCUUCUUUCUCCCUCGCUUCAUACAGAAGAUAAUGCGAGCGGAGGGAUUUGCUCUGAAGUUCGCCUGUCAGAACCCAUGGCUCCAGCAUGUUUUCCUCUGCUCUGUAAAGAUCCCUCAUAAACCCUGGCAGAGUUUACACCAAAAGCAUGCCCCACGAGGUGACGCCUGGCAUCCCGACAACUUCGGGGGAGACCAAUCUUCAUGCCUUUUAAAUCACUGCAGCUGAAACUAGAAAUACCGUGUACAGCUAUUGGGCUUUCAAAGGAAUGUCCUGUGGGCUGAGAAACCUGCUGUGCGUGAUCUGCUGCUCCUUUGCACCCUCUGUCUGCAAGCCUGUGAGAAAAAGAAAAUGCUCCAGCUGCAAAGUAUUGCCUCGUGGUGUAAUACAGCCGAUGACGCAGCAAAUGCUGUGCGUAUGUCAGGGUCAGGAACAGAGACAUCUGUGUCUGUUACACAGGGAGGAACUGGCCAGAACGUCUGCUGCUGAGCUAAUGUCAGGUGCUGAGGUGCGUAACAGCACUGGGCAGGGCCAAAGUGAGCAGCACCUGCCCCCAGCUCCUCACCUGGCUGAGAGCACCUGGGUUUCAUCCUGCACAGUUGCAGGGUUCUCUUGUUUCUGCACUGAGUCUUUCUACAGGUGAGGCUGUAGUGAUACCUGCAAACAUUUAUUUGGCCAAAUGGCCCCGUGUGCCUUGAGAGUAGGUGUGCAGGUUGGUUUGAGAGAGGGUGCACCCGGUGGCAAUCCAGUGCCAUCUAAGAACCCUUUCAGCUUGACGUGUCCCAUCCUCCCUAUGGCUAGUUUUGUGGAGAACUGUAAAGUAUUUUAAUGUUGAGGUGGUUUUUGUUUGUUUGUUUGUUUGUUUUUAAUGUGGAUUGGCUGAGCUGAAGCAUCAAGCAAACAUUUACAAAUUCUAGAGCUUUAUAACCUGUUCAUCUCUGAGACAAAGGCUUCCUCUUCAGAAUGUGUACAAACUGCUCGUUUGCAUUUGGCUGAAGCAAGCAUUUUAUUGUAUAAAAAAGAUCCUGCCAGGGCUGCACAGACUGCCAUUGUGAGUGAUGUGUGGCCGCUCCACUUGCUUUGUUGCACACGCGGCUGCUUGAAGUCGUGCUGCCGGGGCAAUGACCCACCCCUUCCCCUGCUCCAGCAGAGCAGACAUCCACCUCCUGAGUGGGCCUGAGGAAUUUAUCUCCAAGUCUGCUAACUUCUCCCCAUGUGGCUGUUAUUCUUUUCCCCACGCGAAGGGCAUAAAAUUAGUUGCAGAAAGGCAGCACAGUCUAUGUGGGACAAAGAACGUUUCUCGAGUCCUGGAUUCAGGCACAUGUAUCUCCCAUCUUCCAGCUACAAAUUAAGGUGAGGAACAGAUGCAUGCUGGUAUGCACUUCAGUUUCCAAGGGAAGAAGGCACAGGGCAAGAGACCCACAGGAAUUUCCAGAAGCCCUCUACUCUCUACUCCAUGACCUGCACGUAGCCACAAAGGUUAUCACAGCUUCCAGGCGGGGAGACACAAGAAUCUCUUCACAUGAAUAUGACUGUUUUUCCAUUACCUUUAGCAAGCUGAAAUUUUCUGAGACUAUUUUUUCCAGCAUAGUACAGUCUUAGACAUGGAAAUCCUCACGAAACACAAAAUUAAAGCUUACAAACUAGCCCAGCACCGAUGUCAGCCUUUUUGUACAACUGGUAGCUUGACACCUCACUUUAACACUUGUGGCUGUUAAUAGCACAAAGUGAGGGCACGUUGACCAGACUAUGGCAUUUGGUGUCCCACUCUUCUGCCUUUUUAACCAUGAGCCUUCCAGGGUAAAUUCUGGCUCUUUCUAGUUUCGUGGGUAGAUGAAAUGAAAAGCUUUAUAUUGUACACACACACGCAUAUGCAUACAAAUAUUUAUAUAAAUCAAUUAAUACAUGUGUUAUAAUCAGUUAAUAAAAAUACAGUGUAUUUGUUAGUACUGAAAACAAAUAGGAUUUCUAGAAAUGGUAAAAGAGUUGUUUUUUAAAAAAUAGCAGUCCAAGCAAAACCAACACAUGUUUUUUCUGUCUUUCAACUAUCUCCUCUCUUUUCUUUCUUGAGAGUAAAGCCAAAACUGGAAAACUGAGUUUGGGCCUAGUAGAAUUCCACCUUAAAUCCUCCCUCUUCCCAACAAAGAAUAACAUUUUACUUUUGGUUUUGUUUUUUCCUCAGAACUAUUUACAUGUUUCCGAGCCAACACAACAGCUGAUAGUGCUACUUCCCACUCCACCACACUGCAUGCUGUGCUUUCUGCACAGACCUCCUGAGAUUGCGUGAUUGCAUAUAUAACCUUGCUCCACACAGUGUCAGUAUUGUUCUGAUCCUUUCUCUUCCCCCACAUGAGUUUUUGUGUUCAGCAUAUCUUGGCAUUGUGAACUGGAGGCUUUCUAAAGGAGGUCUCAAUUUACCCCUGAUUUACCCCUAUAAAUCAGCUAAUAAACCAUUGUCAGCACUGGUGUUAUUACACUACAUGGAGACAAUGGGGAUGGAAUAUGCUGGUACAGACAACAGCAUUCCAGUUCUGAGGGCUGAAAUACACAGGACCCUUCAGAUGCUGAGGAUGCUCAAGGAUAGUCUGCAGGACAAGAGGAAAUCUGCAAGGUGACUCCUACAUCUCUGCUCUGCUUCACCGCUCUGCGACAAGUACAAGCCAAUGCACCCGGACAGAAAUACCUGUGGUAGUUGGAUUAUCUCCUCUGCACCCAAGGAAUUCCAUGCAGACUCCCAUGAACGGAGCUGAAUUCCUCAGCUCUUCCAUCUCCCUGGUGAACUGCACUGAAUUCCCUGCCAAAGCCCUCACACUCAUGGUGCCAGCAGUAUCCUGGGAAGACCUGUGUAUGCAAAAUGCUGUGUUACUGCUAUCACCUAGCAGGGUUCAUCGGAGUAAAGCAUAAUAAAACUUUAACAACAAUCC